rnacentral:pre_miRNA from 11 species
AAAUGUAUUGCAGGGUAAUUACUCCUUCGGCAGUAGAUUGUUUAACUUCUACCGCCAAGGGAGAUUUGCCCAGCAAUUCAUGU